rnacentral:lncRNA from 13 species
GGACAUGGAUGAAUCUGGAGAACGUCAUCCUCAGCAAACUGACACAAGAACAGAAAAUGAAACACCGCAUAUUCUCACUCAUAGGCAGAAGAACCCGAGAUUCAGUGAGAGUCUGCAGCAGCUUUCUUAGCAAGCAGCAUCUUUCUCUGGUCUGGCAAAUCAUAGUUGCUGCUUUACUUAAGGAGAAUCGUAUUUCUUCCUGGGACUUAAUAAGAAUGAAGACUUGGGCCAAAAAUCAGCACAUGGAUCAAUUAUUAAAACACAUCCUAGGUUUGAGGAAACUGUGA